UUUCAUCUAAUCCAUGACCCUAUUGCACAUACAUACAUUCAUUGUUCCAUCAUCAUAAUCACAUUAACAUCCGUAACCAAAGGCAUAUUGCACGGACUCAAGGCAUGGUGUUUACACCUGAGAGAAAACUGAAGAUUUCCGGUUAAAGCUCUAGAGAAAAUACCAGCAAAUUAAGAAAAAAAAUAAAAAAUAAAAAAUUAAUUUUUGGUCAAGUUAAUGGAUGUAAGACCCCAAUUUUGACCCUAAGAC
rnacentral:lncRNA from 1 species